rnacentral:rRNA from 1 species
UACGAAGGGGGCUAGCGUUGCUCGGAAUCACUGGGCGUAAAGCGCACGUAGGCGGCUUUCUAAGUCAGGGGUGAAAUCCUGGAGCUCAACUCCAGAACUGCCUUUGAUACUGAGAAGCUUGAGUCCGGGAGAGGUGAGUGGAACUGCGAGUGUAGAGGUGAAAUUCGUAGAUAUUCGCAAGAACACCAGUGGCGAAGGCGGCUCACUGGCCCGAUACUGACGCUGAGGCACGAAAGCGUGGGGAGCAAACAGG